ACCUGGGUGGCUCAGUCAGUUGAGCGUCUGACUUCGGCUCAGAUCAUGAUCUCACAGCUCGUGAGUUUGAGCCCCACGUCAGGCU
rnacentral:tRNA from 1 species